AUUGAACGCUGGCGGCAGGCUUAACACAUGCAAGUCGAGCGGGGUGAUGGUGCUUGCACUAUCACUUAGCGGCGGACGGGUGAGUAAUGCUUAGGAAUCUGCCUAUUAGUGGGGGACAACAUCUCGAAAGGGAUGCUAAUACCGCAUACGUCCUACGGGAGAAAGCAGGGGAUCACUUGUGACCUUGCGCUAAUAGAUGAGUCUAAGUCGGAUUAGCUAGUUGGUGGGGUAAAGGCCUACCAAGGCGACGAUCUGUAGCGGGUCUGAGAGGAUGAUCCGCCACACUGGGACUGAGACACGGCCCAGACUCCUACGGGAGGCAGCAGUGGGGAAUAUUGGAUAAUGGGGGGAACCCUGAUCCAGCCAUGCCGCGUGUGUGAAGAAGGCCUUAUGGUUGUAAAGCACUUUAAGCGAGGAGGAGGCUCUUUUGGUUAAUACCCAAGAUGAGUGGACGUUACUCGCAGAAUAAGCACCGGCUAACUCUGUGCCAGCCGCCGCUGUAA
rnacentral:rRNA from 1 species